rnacentral:tRNA from 1 species
GUCAGGAUGGUCGAGCGGUCUAAGGCGCUGCUUUCAGGUUGCAGUCUCCCCUGGAGGUGUAGGUUUGAAUCCCACUCCUGACA